GUGGAUUAGAUACCCGGGUAGUCCAUGCCGUAAACGAUGUCUACUAGCCGUUGGGGCCUUUGAGGCUUUAGUGGCGCAGCUAACGCGAUAAGUAGACCGCCUGGGGAGUACGGUCGCAAGACUAAAACUCAAAUGAAUUGACGGGGGCCCGCACAAGCGGUGGAGCAUGUGGUUUAAUUCGAUGCAACGCGAAGAACCUUACCUGGCCUUGACAUACUAGAAACUUUCCAGAGAUGGAUUGGUGCCUUCGGGAAUCUAGAUACAGGUGCUGCACGGCCGUCGACAACU
rnacentral:rRNA from 1 species